CCUACGGGUGGCUGCAGUGGGGAAUAUUGCACAAUGGGCGCAAGCCUGAUGCAGCCAUGCCGCGUGUGUGAAGAAGGCCUUCGGGUUGUAAAGCACUUUCAGCGGGGAGGAAGGCGGUGAGGUUAAUAACCUCAUCGAUUGACGUUACCCGCAGAAGAAGCACCGGCUAACUCCGUGCCAGCAGCCGCGGUAAUACGGAGGGUGCAAGCGCUAAUCGGAAUUACUGGGCGUAAAGCGCACGCAGGCGGUCUGUCAAGUCGGAUGUGAAAUCCCCGGGCUCAACCUGGGAACUGCAUUCGAAACUGGCAGGCUAGAGUCUUGUAGAGGGGGGUAGAAUUCCAGGUGUAGCGGUGAAAUGCGUAGAGAUCUGGAGGAAUACCGGUGGCGAAGGCGGCCCCCUGGACAAAGACUGACGCUCAGGUGCGAAAGCGUGGGGAGCAAACAGGAUUAGAUACCCGGGUAGUC
rnacentral:rRNA from 1 species